rnacentral:rRNA from 1 species
UACAGAGGUCUCAAGCGUUGUUCGGAUUCAUUGGGCGUAAAGGGUGCGUAGGCGGCGCGGUAAGUCGGGUGUGAAAUCUCGGAGCUUAACUCCGAAACUGCAUUCGAUACUGCCGUGCUUGAGGACUGGAGAGGAGACUGGAAUUUACGGCGUAGCGGUGAAAUGCGUAGAUAUCGUAAGGAAGACCAGUGGCGAAGGCGGGUCUCUGGACAGUUCCUGACGCUGAGGCACGAAGGCCAGGGGGAGCAAACGGG